rnacentral:rRNA from 1 species
GACGUAGGGGGCCAGCGUUGUUCGGAAUUACUGGGUGUAAAGGGUUCGUAGGCGGUGUGGCAAGUCGGGAGUGAAAUUUCUGGGCUCAACUCAGAGACUGCUUCCGAAACUGCUGUGCUGGAGUGUGGGAGAGGCGCGUGGAAUUGCAGGUGUAGCGGUGAAAUGCGUAGAUAUCUGCAGGAACACCCGUGGCGAAAGCGGCGCGCUGGACCACUACUGACGCUGAGGAACGAAGGCUAGGGGAGCAAACAGG